AGUGAACGCUGGCGGUAGGCCUAACACAUGCAAGUCGAACGGCAGCACAGUAAGAGCUUGCUCUUACGGGUGGCGAGUGGCGGACGGGUGAGGAAUACAUCGGAAUCUACUUUUUCGUGGGGGAUAACGUAGGGAAACUUACGCUAAUACCGCGUACGACCUACGGGUGAAAGCAGGGGAUCUUCGGACCUUGCGCGAUUGAAUGAGCCGAUGUCGGAUUAGCGAGUUGGCGGGGUAAAGGCCCACCAAGGCGACGAUCCGUAGCUGGUCUGAGAGGAUGAUCAGCCACACUGGAACUGAGACACGGUCCAGACUCCUACGGGAGGCAGCAGUGGGGAAUAUUGGACAAUGGGCGCAAGCCUGAUCCAGCCAUACCGCGUGGGUGAAGAAGGCCUUCGGGUUGUAAAGCCCUUUUGUUGGGAAAGAAAAGCAGCAGGUUAAUACCCCGCUGUUCUGACGGUACCCAAAGAAUAAGCACCGGCUAACUUCGUG
rnacentral:rRNA from 1 species